CGGUGUUUAACUGGCGUGAUGUGGGACGUCCUACCGGUGGGCUUAGCCUCGCGAGGGGCGGCCCAACUAAUAUCCCGUCGCGGUGCUCUUUACUGAGUGUCGAGUCGGGCCGGUACGUUUACUUUGAACAAAUUAGAGUGCUUAAAGCAGGCUAUCCUCGCCUGAAUACUGCGUGCAUAGAAUAAUGGAAUAGGACCUCGGUUCUAUUUUGUUGGUUUUCGGAACCCCGAGGUAAUGAUUAAUAGGGACAGAUGGGGGCAUUCGUAUUGCGACGUUAGAGGUGAAAUUCUUGGAUCGUCGCAAGACGGACAGAAGCGAAAGCAUUUGCCAAAAAUGUUUUCAUUAAUCAAGAACGAAAGUUAGAGGUUCGAAGGCGAUCAGAUACCGCCCUAGUUCUAACCAUAAACGAUGCCAGCUAGCGAUCCGCCGAAGUUCCUCCGAUGACUCGGCGGGCAGCUUCCGGGAAACCAAAGCUUUUGGGUUCCGGGGGAAGUAUGGUUGCAAAGCUGAAACUUAAAGGAAUUGACGGAAGGGCACCACCAGGAGUGGGAGCCUGCGGCUUAAUUUGACUCAACACGGGAAACCCUCACCAGGCCCAGACACCGGAAGGAUUGACAGAUUGAUAGCUCUUUCUUGAUUCGGUGGGUGGUGGUGCAUGGCCGUUCUUAGUUGGUGGAGCGAUUUGUCUGGUUAAUUCCGAUAACGAACGAGACUCUAGCCUGCUAAAUAGGCGUACCUUAUGGUAUCGCGAAGGCCCCCGGCUUCGGCCGGUGGGUUUUUACUACCAACGUACAAACAAAUCUUCUUAGAGGGACAGGCGG
rnacentral:rRNA from 1 species